rnacentral:rRNA from 1 species
UCCCUUAGUAAUGGCGAAUGAACAGGGAUGAGCUCAGCAUUAAAAUCUGGGCCCCCGGCCUUGAAUUGUAAUCUCGAGAAGUGCAACCAACGGCGGCGCAGGUGUAAGCCUCUUGGAAAAGAGCACCAAUGAGGGUGAGAGUCCCGUUUGUCAUCUGCAGUCCUCCGUGUACGGUGUGCUUUCUAAGAGUCACGUUCCUCGGGCUUGGAGCGCCAAAGGUGGUAAAUUUCAUCUAAAGCUAAAUAUAGGUUUGAGACCGAUAGCAAACAAGUACCAUGAGGGAAAGAUGAAAAGGACUUUGGAAAGAGAGUUAAAAGUGCCUGAAAUCGCUGAAAGGGAAGCGAAUGGAACCAGUGUUUCUUGCAGAGCUUGCUGGGAGUAAUCCGGAUAGUGCCUUGAUUUCAGCGCAAGCGUUUCAGGGUUCUUUGAAGGUGCAUUCUUGGUGCCGCUCUGCUUGCUUGUCAACGUCAAUUUGGAGUUGGGGAAAACUCUUGGGGAAUGGGAGCCUGGUCUCGGCUGGGUGAACGCCUCUUGUAGAACUCAUCUCUGGAUUGAAGUGCUUGCGUUUGGUUGCAAUGCCUCACUCUGUGCCAGCUGCCCUGGGAAAUUCAGCAGGUGCGCGGUGCUUAUCAGUGGGUGCGUUCCUUGACGCUACGAUGCUGACAAAAUGGUUUCACUCGACCCGUCUUGA